AGCGAACGCUGGCGGCAGGCUUAACACAUGCAAGUCGAACGGUAGCACAGAGAGCUUGCUCUUGGGUGACGAGUGGCGGACGGGUGAGUAAUGUCUGGGAAACUGCCCGAUGGAGGGGGAUAACCACUGGAAACGGUAGCUAAUACCGCAUAACGUCUUCGGACCAAAGUGGGGGACCUUCGGGCCUCACACCAUCGGAUGUGCCCAGAUGGGAUUAGCUAGUAGGUGGGGUAACGGCUCACCUAGGCGACGAUCCCUAGCUGGUCUGAGAGGAUGACCAGCCACACUGGAACUGAGACACGGUCCAGACUCCUACGGGAGGCAGCAGUGGGGAAUAUUGCACAAUGGGCGCAAGCCUGAUGCAGCCAUGCCGCGUGUAUGAAGAAGGCCUUUGGGUUGUAAAAUACUUUCAGUGGGGAGGAAGGCGAAGAGGUUAAUAACCUUUUCGAUUGACGUUACCCGCAGAAGAAGCACCGGCUAACUCCGUGCCAGCCGCCGCAGUAA
rnacentral:rRNA from 1 species